GACGAACGCUGGCGGCGUGCCUAAUACAUGCAAGUCGAACGCUGAAGGAGGAGCUUGCUUCUCUGGAUGAGUUGCGAACGGGUGAGUAACGCGUAGGUAACCUGCCUGGUGGCGGGGGAUAACUAUUGGAAACGAUAGCUAAUACCGCAUAAGAGUAGAUGUUGCAUGACAUUUGCUUAAAAGGUGCAAUUGCAUCACUACCAGAUGGACCUGCGUUGUAUUAGCUAGUUGGUGGGGUAACGGCUCACCAAGGCGACGAUACAUAGCCGACCUGAGAGGGUGAUCGGCCACACUGGGACUGAGACACGGCCCAGACUCCUACGGGAGGCAGCAGUAGGGAAUCUUCGGCAAUGGACGGAAGUCUGACCGAGCAACGCCGCGUGAGUGAAGAAGGGUUUCGGAUCGUAAAGCUCUGUUGUAAGAGAAGAACGAGUGUGAGAGUGGAAAGUUCACACUGUGACGGUAGCUUACCAGAAAGGGACGGCUAACUACGUG
rnacentral:rRNA from 1 species